rnacentral:rRNA from 1 species
UGAGGAACAUGACCUUCGGCGGGGGAUAGCCGGCCCAACUGCCGGGUAAUACCGCGUACGACCUUUCGGGGACAUCCCUGGAAGGUGAAAGCAGCAAUGCGCCGAUGGAGUGCCUCGCGGCCUAUCAGCUAGUUGGUGAGGUAACGGCUCACCAAGGCGACGACGGGUAGCUGGUCUGAGAGGAUGGCCAGCCACAUUGGGACUGAGACACGGCCCAGACCUCCCGACGGGAGCAG